rnacentral:rRNA from 1 species
GAUGAACGCUAGCGGCGGGCCUAAUACAUGCAAGUCGAACGGUGCAGCAAUGCAUAGUGGCAGACGGUGCGUAACGCGUAUGCAACCUACCUUUUAUCGGGGGACAACAUUUCGAAAGAAGUGCUAAUACCGCGUAAGAUAGUAGUGGGACAUCCCACAGCUAUUAAACUUUCGGGGAUAGAAGAUGGGCAUGCGUCUGAUUAGCUAGUUGGCGGGUAACGGCCCACCAAGGCGACGAUCAGUAGGGGAACUGAGAGGUUGAUCCCCCACACUGGCACUGAGAUACGGGCCAGACUCCACGGGAGGCAGCAGUAGGGAAUAUUGGGCAAUGGACGGAAGUCUGACCCAGCCACGCCGCGUGCAGGAGGAAGGCGCUCUGCGUUGUAAACUGCUUUAGCAGGGGAAGAAAAGACUCAUGCGUGAGAAUUGACGGUACCCUGAGAAUAAGCACCGGCUAACUACGUGCCAGCAGCCGCGGUAA